GACGAACGCUGGCGGCGUGCCUAAUACAUGCAAGUCGAACGCUUCUUUCCUCCCGAGUGCUUGCACUCAAUUGGAAAGAGGAGUGGCGGACGGGUGAGUAACACGUGGGUAACCUACCCAUCAGAGGGGGAUAACACUUGGAAACAGGUGCUAAUACCGCAUAACAGUUUAUGCCGCAUGGCAUAAGAGUGAAAGGCGCUUUCGGGUGUCGUUGAUGGAUGGACCCGCGGUGCAUUAGCUAGUUGGUGAGGUAACGGCUCACCAAGGCCACGAUGCAUAGCCGACCUGAGAGGGUGAUCGGCCACACUGGGACCGAGACACGGCCCAGACUCCUACGGGAGGCAGCAGUAGGGAAUCUUCGGCAAUGGACGAAAGUCUGACCGAGCAACGCCGCGUGAGUGAAGAAGGUUUUCGGAUCGUAAAACUCUGUUGUUAGAGAAGAACAAGGACGUUAGUAACUGAACGUCCCCUGACGGUAUCUAACCAGAAAGCCACGGCUAACUACGUG
rnacentral:rRNA from 1 species